UUGGAUUUUCGUCUUUUAAACUUCGCCAUGCUUGAAACAACUUUGGCUCCAAGACAAACUAUAUAGGUGGAAUAAAACAAAUAUAAAUUGAAAAUCUCAACAAGUAAAUUUGUUACGUAUAUACCUAUAUUAUAUUGCUUUGUGUAUAUCAUAUCUACAUAGAUACACAUUUUGUUGGUACCAUUUUUGGAGAACGUGUACAUUAAUUUACAUAUAGAAAUCAUGACUUCCUCUCUUAGUAAAUUCUACAUGGUGUUCAUGUUUCUAUGCCUUAUCAUCAUUUUGCUUAUUUUCAUAUAUGAGGUGGAAGCUAAACAAUAUUGUAAAGAGCUAAGUCAAACAUGGAAAGGAGGGAUUUGUCUUUUUAGCCACAAGGAAUGUAAUUCAGUGUGUGUCAAUUCGGAGCAUGCAAAGUUUGGUGCUUGUUUAUUUCCUGUUUGCCUUUGCGUCUACAAUUGCACAGAAUAUUCCCACCCGACAUAGAGCUAUCAAGAACGGACACCAGAAAUGAGAUAUGAUACGGACAUGAUAUCUCGACACUAAUUAAUAAUAAUUUAAGAAAAUGUUAUAUUUCAAUGUAAUCACAAAUAUCGGUAUUGGAUCAUGUCAGAUGCCGACAAGUAUUGUCUGAUAAUGUAACACGUCUAAUUUAAAUAGUAUUUUUACUUCAUAGAUAGAGAGGCUAAUAAGGUCGCUAAUGAUUUAAGUAAUCUUAGUUGUUGUCUUUCUUUGGAAUAUAUGAUUAGAUAAGGGGUUUGGCUUGGUUUGGGUUUUUUUUCUUUCUCUUUUUUUCUCCUUUAGUUUGUGGAAAUGUAGUACUACAUGUACUAAUUUUCAUUUAUGGGUUUAGUAUUACUUGUAUUUAUUUUUUUAUUAAUAUUUUCACAGUUUAAAAAAUA